GGCCCCGUAGCUCAGAUGGAUAGAGCAACCGCCUCCUAAGCGGUAGGUCGCGCGUUCGACUCGCGCCGGGGUCACCA
rnacentral:tRNA from 2 species